GACGAACGCUGGCGGCGUGCUUAACACAUGCAAGUCGAACGAAGUGGCGAACGGGUGAGUAACGCGUAAUCAACCUGCCCUUCAGCGGGGGACAACAGUUGGAAACGACUGCUAAUACCGCAUACUGAAGGAGGGGCUUGCGUCUGAUUAGCUAGUUGGAGGGGUAACGGCCCACCAAGGCGCUGAUCAGUAGCCGGUCUUAGUGAAUCAACCGCCACAUUGGGACUGAGACACGGCCCCGACUCCUACUGGAGGCAGCAGUGGGGAAUCUUCCGCAAUGGACGAAAGUCUGACGGAGCAACGCCGCGUGAGUGGUGACGGCCUUCAGGUUGUAAAGCUCUGUUAAUCGGGGCGCGGUACCGGAAUAGAAAGCCACGGCUAACUACGUGCCAGCCGCCGCGGUAAUAC
rnacentral:rRNA from 1 species